rnacentral:other from 20 species
GUAGCGCCCGCCUACAUAGGCGGGCGAGGAUUGAAAC